AUUGAACGCUGGCGGCAUGCCUUACACAUGCAAGUCGAACGGCAGCACGGGGGCAACCCUGGUGGCGAGUGGCGAACGGGUGAGUAAUAUAUCGGAACGUACCCUGGAGUGGGGGAUAACGUAGCGAAAGUUACGCUAAUACCGCAUACGAUCUAAGGAUGAAAGUGGGGGAUCGCAAGACCUCAUGCUCCUGGAGCGGCCGAUAUCUGAUUAGCUAGUUGGUGGGGUAAAGGCCUACCAAGGCAUCGAUCAGUAGCUGGUCUGAGAGGACGACCAGCCACACUGGGACUGAGACACGGCCCAGACUCCUACGGAGGCAGCAGUGGGGAAUAUUGGACAAUGGGCGAAAGACCUGAUCCAGCAAUGCCGCGUGAGUGAUGAAGGCCUUAGGGUUGUAAAGCUCUUUUACCCGAGAUGAUAAUGACAGUAUCGGGAGAAUAAGCUCCGGCUAACUCCGUGCCAGCAGCCGCGGUAAU
rnacentral:rRNA from 1 species